UGGUCACAUCAUGCUGAAAACACUGGUUCCUGUUCGAUCACUGAAGUUAAGCAACAUUAAGCCUGGUUAGUACUUAGGUGAGAGAUCACUUGGGGAUACUGGGUACUGUAAG